AGCCCGUUCCAUGCCCACCGCCCUGUGGUGCAGCAGCUGUCCCUAACCCCCAGCUGCCCUCCCCUGACACAGCUCCAUGCCGUUCCCUCGGGCCCCGUCGCUGUCACACAGAGCAGAGCUCAGCGCUGCCCCUCCGCUCCCUGCGAGGAGCUGCAGCCGCCAUCAGGCCUCCCCUCAGCUCCUGUGCUCUGCGCUGAACACAACCAGGAACCUCAGUCUCCGCCGACCCCCGGUCCCCGCUGUCAGAGCAGCGCAGGAGGGGCGGCACCUGCGGAACCGCCCCCUUCUCCUCCCUCCCUCCCUUCCCCUCUUCUCCCCUCCUCUCUUCCCGGUGGAGAGCGAGAGAGACCGAGACCCGCAGGGAGACGGCGGCAGUGGGGCUGCCGAGUGGCGCUGCUCGCAGCGAGGGGGCGGCUUUAGGGAGGGGGGAAAAAAAAGAAAAAAAAAAAGUGAGGGAGGGGCGGAAGGAAAGCGUUCAACUCCUGCUCUCCUUGCCCGGCGAGAUAAAAGCAGCUGCAGAUCUGCUGUUCAGAGGGCGCAGCGCCUGUGGCUUACCUUACAUGCAGAAGAGCAGUAAUUUGAGAAGCAGCAAAUGGUUUUCUGCUGAAUCUUAUCUUUAGAAAGGAAAAGAAGAAAGAAGCAUGAGCUUAAGGGAG
rnacentral:lncRNA from 1 species